rnacentral:rRNA from 2 species
GAUGAACGCUAGCUACAGGCUUAACACAUGCAAGUCGAGGGGCAGCAUGGAAGAAGCUUGCUUCUUCUGAUGGCGACCGGCGCACGGGUGCGUAACGCGUAUCAAACCUGCCUCAUACUCGGGGAUAGCCUUGCGAAAGUAAGAUUAAUACCCGAUGUUGUUAUGUUACCGCAUGGUGAUAUAACCAAAGAUUUAUCGGUAUGAGAUGGUGAUGCGUCCGAUUAGGUAGUAGGCGGGGUAACGGCCCACCUAGCCAUCGAUCGGUAGGGGUUCUGAGAGGAAGGUCCCCCACACUGGAACUGAGACACGGUCCAGACUCCUACGGGAGGCAGCAGUGAGGAAUAUUGGUCAAUGGACGCAAGUCUGAACCAGCCAAGUAGCGUGCAGGAUGACGGCCCUCUGGGUUGUAAACUGCUUUUAGUUGGGAAUAAAAAAGAGGACGUGUCCUCUAUUGUAUGACCUCAGAAAAAGACCGGAU